AUUUUCUCCAAUUUUCUCUCCGAAUUAUCCCGUUUCCCAACCUGGAGACGUGGAGGUGCAUCGCCACGAUGUUUUUUUGUGCUGCUCCAGCAGGUGGGCAGCACGCGGUGCGAGGCGGGGAGCUGCCAUCCCAGGCUGUGUUGCAGCAGAGCAGGGAAAGGCAGCCCUGGGGAUGGACGGGACCAUCCAAACCCAACUGCCCUCUCAUCCCUGAAGCCCCCUCGCCCCCAAGGAGAGCAGAGCCAGGCUGCCAGGCCCUCCACGCACACGCUGUGCUCCCGAGGGUGCUGAGCAGGCUGCACGGGGCUGCCAGCAAGCCUGGCCGCACCAUUCCCCUGAGUCACGCCUGCUGCCUGCCCAAGCGUGCCCCCAGCGCGGCUCUUCCCCUUCUUUCCUUCCUCUUUCCCCUCACAAAGGGUUUUUCCAGCGUGUUGUUAAAAAAAAAAAAAAGAAGCCACACAUCCAGCUGUCAGAGCUCGGCUUUUCAUUCCGGCCGAGACAACGCCAGCUUUUUCUCCUCCCGCUCCGCAGCGAGCUGGCGGCGAGCCUGGGAAAGAGGCACUGACUUUGCAAGCCCGUGCCUGCUGGAGCAUAAUAAGGUCAUUGUCGAGAAGACGCGGCACCAGGAGGCUGAUCUGGAGCGCACCACGGCCCCGGUGGAGAGUUGUGCAAGCCCCGUGGCCGCGCCAACACUGGCCCCAUUGUUUGCCGCCGGGAGCCGACAAGCCGGUUCCUGCGGAGCCGCUGCAGACGGCGAUCAAAUGUGCGUCGUCGCCGGCUAUCAGGACGCGCUGUGCCAAAUUAGCUGCCUCCCAAAUGGCAGGACACCCACGUCCCAUCACUUCGCACGAGGUCUUGACGGGGCGAAGCUCCUCGAGGCUCCUGGCCCUGCGGCGUGGCGAAGCGUCGGGGGCAGAGCGAGCGCUGGAGAGGCCCCGCCGAGACCCGUUGGGAGCAGGAACCUGGGUGCUGGGAUGUCUGAAACCACAUCCUGCUUGCAUAUCCACGUGCUGGCGGCUGCCUUGCCAGGGCUCCUCAGCUUGCUGAGGGCAAAACCCCCGGGGGAGAGGGCUGGUGGGGAGAGGGGGGCUGCGGGAGCAGCGCUUGGGGCGUGCGGGCACGGUGCCGUGCCGAACCCCUGCUGAAAUUGCAGCCCAAGAGGGAAUAAAAGCAUGCGUGGCAAGGAAGGAGAAGCUAGG
rnacentral:lncRNA from 1 species